UAGGCACGGAGUAGCAGGA
rnacentral:misc_RNA from 1 species